UACGGGGGGAGCAAGCGUUGUUCGGAUUUACUGGGCGUAAAGGGCGCGUAGGCGGCCACCGCAAGUCGGUUGUGAAAUCUCCGGGCUUAACUCGGAAAGGUCAACUGAUACUGUGCGACUAGAGUGCGGAAGGGGCAACUGGAAUUCUCGGUGUAGCGGUGAAAUUCGUAGAUAUCGGGAGGAACACCGGUGGCGAAGGCGGCGACCUGGGUAGAUACUGACGCUGAGGUGCGAAAGCGUGGGGAGCAAACAGG
rnacentral:rRNA from 1 species